rnacentral:lncRNA from 1 species
UGGAGUCAUGACAUCUAUACAGGAUCGAUAUGGUUCUUAACAACUUGCAUAUCAAUUAAGUACACUAAAGAAGAGUUUCUCUUCAGAUGCACAAGUAAUCACACUGCUGAUUUGAAUAAAGGUUGCCUUAAGACUGUUAAUGUCUUUAAUUGUUCCAGCCUAUUUUUGUGCAGCUUUCUGGCACAGCGUCUUUUUAUUUCUAUUUUGUCUUUACAGAGCAGAAAUUAUGUAGCAACUUGUUACAUUGCCUAUGCUUUUAUUUUUCUUUUCCUUUACAGUCUUGUGUUUCUCUUAGUGACCUUGAUGUUAGAUGUUGGGAGCUUUAUAUUAUUACUGCUUUUGUCUGUGAGGCAAGAGAAAGAAAGAAGGAUGAGCGCGUGCAUUAGAAAUGAGCUUUCCCAAUAGAAACCUCUCUGCACCUGCAUCCUCAGUUGCCAGACGUAACGUAUCUUCUGGCUGUCUUGCAAGCUGCGGAGAAGAAAGUAAGCUUAUGCUGAGAUGGUAUUUAGUGGACUGUAGCAAAAUAUAGAAUGAAGUUAAACCUGCGUUUAUCAGGAAGUAGAAGCUCUUGCAGUCAUAAAUUGAUGUGCAUUGAAGCGAUGGGGGAUUAAUGUUUUAAAACAAUAUUUCUGCAAGCAAAUGUUAUACUUAUUGUGAGGUAUAGGGGAGAUAAGGCACCUGGUAUUUUGAAUAAUAGAUUUCAUCUAGUCGUGAGAACUAUCUAUUUAUUCCUGGUUUUGAAAGUUAUAAAACACUGCAAUAUGGAAUCCUUAAGUGCUUUAAAAACAAUCUGUAUUGUGUACAAAUUGAAAAAACUUAAAGUAUAUAAAGGGCCUAAUAGAGUAGUUAGUAAAAUACUUGUUAAACUGUUCAGAAGAAUCACAGUUUUUUGAUAAAUAAUGAAAUUUUGGAUGAGGAAAUAUAGUAGAACUGUGUUUUAGACAGUUUAGAUUUUUUGCUGAUGACAUCUUGUAUAAAAAUGAUUAGAUCUUAAGGGAAAAACCUCACAACCAAGAAUGAGCUCAAGCUAAUUCUGUUCUGUAACUUUGUUUCUUAAUUCAAAUUUGUAAACUGCUGAUAUCUAAUAAAAAAAAAAAUUGAUAUAAGCUGAUUUUUUUUUUUAUUAAAUUCAUAUGUGCAGACGCCAGUCUCCAGCUUUCUAAAUACUACCAUCUGUAUUCCAUACAAUGAUCUGGUAAAAUUAGCCUUUAAUUUCAGUUAGUGAAACUAACUUUCUUAUUAAAUUGCUAUAGCAAUAGAAAUCAAAGCACUAAGUGGGAUGGAAAAGAAAGUUUCUGUAUUCAAAUGUGUUGAAAUACAGUUCACAUUGUGUAGAUGUAUUUGUUUUUCUGUUUCUCAGUGCUUUUUGUAUUUAACUCUCGCUUCUUCUAACUUCUCUUGUAGCUGUUUAGAUUUAAGCUAAAAAUAAUGAUUCUUUUCUGAGAAUAGCAGAAGUAUUUGUCCUGCUCAGUUGUAGAGCUUUACACUUUGUUUUUUCCUUUCCCACUCUGUUUUUGCCGAAUGUAAAGAGAAAAUGCUUUAUUACACACAAAAAAAUGGUCUUAUUUUCAGAUUAGCAGUGUGCCAUCUGCGCCCAGUGACUUGCAGAAGAGCUGCUCUUACAACUUAACUCUUAUAACUGCACAUUUAGACAUUUGUGUGUGGAUAGAGUUGCCUUACUUUAGGCAGUAUAAUAGAAUGUGGUUCUGUCCCUGCCCCCACCUAUAUCCUGUCCUAUCCUCUCUUUUGGUUUCUUGUAUAUUAAGCAUGUAAAUGAGAUCACCUACAUAGAAAUAAUUAUGGAUUUUUUUUUUAAUCAUUGUAAUAUAGUGAACCACUUACAGAUGGAAAAACAUGGAAAAAAUGGUAUUUUCAGUACAAAAGAACAAAUUACUGAAGGAAGCAAUUGUGGAGUUACCUUAUGUGACGUAAAGCAUGUGUAACUUUAUAUAAACUUCUGUGUAACUGUAUAAACUUCUUCCCUUUUGCUGCAAUCUGGGGAGUGCAAAGUGUUGAACAAUUCAGUAUUUUCAGAAAUACNGGAGGAAUUUUGCUCCCUCAACUUCUGCCUAGUUGUUCGGGGAUGUGAGAGAUGUGGGAAGCCUGACUGCCAGUGAAGACUGAGGCAAAGAACUCCCUGAGUGCCUCAGCCUUCUCCAUGUCUGUUGCUGCCAGUUCUCCCUUCUCAUUUAUCAAAGGGAGUACACUCUCCUUGGCCUGUCCUGAUCAGUGUGCCUGUAGAAUCCCUUGUUA